UACGUAGGGCGCAAGCGUUGUCCGGAAUUAUUGGCGUAAAGAGCUCGUAGGCGGUUUGUCGCGUCUGCUGUGAAAACCUAAGGCUCAACCUUGGGCUUGCAGUGGGUACGGGCAGACUAGAGUGCGGUAGGGGUGACUGGAAUUCCUGGUGUAGCGGUGGAAUGCGCAGAUAUCAGGAGGAACACCGAUGGCGAAGGCAGGUCACUGGGCCGCAACUGACGCUGGAGGAGCGAAAGCAUCGGGGAGCGAACAGG
rnacentral:rRNA from 1 species